rnacentral:lncRNA from 1 species
GCGCUGGGGGACUACGUAAGUGUCCCGUAGCACUAGGGCAGCAAAUGCAUGGUGAAGUCAUGUCUUCUGGUAGAGGUUAUCUAGCAUGCAGAGUGUAGUGUGUUGAAACUGUAUGACGUUGCUGUAUCAAAGUUGUAAAAUUAAGCAUUAUUUAUUGAAAACUAUGUAUUUUUUUGUAAAAACCUGAUCACACAAGAGAGUAUCAGUGGCUUGUGCUUUGUGCUUCAAUCAAACCAGCUUCGUGACCGCCCUCCUUGGAAUGCAGUGUUAAUGCUCAGGGUUGAAUUCAUACACUCCAAUGUCUCUUUUUGCAGGAGUUUUUCACAGAGGAAUACAUUUGUUCAAAAGACCAAUAAAAAUCGUGUGAUCAAUCUCCACAUGUGGCUUUUAUGUGACUUUUUUGUUUUGUUUUUGAUUUUUUGUUUUGUUUUGUUUUGUUUUGUUUUUUGUUUAUCUUUCCCACUUUGCAUUGGGUAACUACUGUGUGACUCCUAAAGUGUUGUCUCGAAGCUGAGAGAUUUGAAAAGUCUUGGUGUCUCAGCAUCCAACCAGGACCCACAGCUUGGGCAGGACUGGGGCCCUCAGGAAGUGAUGCUUAGGGCAGGCUGCGAGCUGCCCACAGUGGAAUAAGCAUGGUGAUCGUGUCUUGGUAUUUUUAACUGGCCAAUAGAGUAAAUAAAAAGCAUAGGCAAAGUAUAGAGGGGUAGGUUAGCCUGUUUGUCAGAGUUAGAGGAUGAAGGGAUUAUUCAGGGGCAGUUGCUGAUGUUGAAUCCAAUGCCAGCAAACUCCAUUCCUCAGUGUCUUUUUUUUUCCCCCUCUAUAAGCAAUUUACAUUGUAAAUGUAUUUUGACAUAGAAACCAUUCUGUAUUGAAACUCUUGCUAUAAGAUGUUUUUAUGAAAGCCUGUAAGUGGUCCUUGGAAUUAUUAUCAGAUUUUUUUAAAGAUGUGUUUACAUGGUGAGUGUUUGUUGCAUAUUAAUUAAAUUUGGUUUUGU